CCUACGGGAGGCAGCAGUGAGGAAUAUUGGUCAAUGGCCGAGAGGCUGAACCAGCCAAGUCGCGUGAGGGAAGACGGCCCUACGGGUUGUAAACCUCUUUUGUCGGGGAGCAAAGCGAGUCACGUGUGGUUCAUUGAGAGUACCCGAAGAAAAAGCAUCGGCUAACUCCGUGCCAGCAGCCGCGGUAAUACGGAGGAUGCGAGCGUUAUCCGGAUGUCUUGGGGUUAAGGGGUGCGCAGGCGGAGGUGCAAGUCAGCGGUCAAAUUGCGGGGCUCAACCCCGUACUGCCGUUGAAACUGCAUCCCUUGAGUGCGCGAGAGGUAUGCGGAAUGCGUGGUGUAGCGGUGAAAUGCAUAGAUAUCACGCAGAACUCCGAUUGCGAAGGCAGCAUACCGGCGCGCAACUGACGCUCAUGCACGAAAGCGUGGGUAUCGAACAGGAGUAGAUACCCUUGUAGUG
rnacentral:rRNA from 1 species